GGGCUCGGGGCGCUGCAGCCCCGGGCGCUGAGGGCACAAGAUGGCGGCGGGGUCAGCGCUGGGCGCCAUGGCCCCGCCGAGCCGCGGCCUGGGCCCGGUGCCGCCGCUGUUCACACAAAUAAUAAAGAUUGGGAGCCACCGCUGGUCCAGCUUAUCUUUCAGGAAAGAAUCUGAAGUGAUGCAGUUUGACGUUGCUGGCGGGAAUGUCGCUGGGUGACUCGAAAUAAAGAGCGUGUUAGGGGUGGGUUUAAACGCUCGUCUGGCCUUCUCAAACACACGUCAGAGAAAUGGUGACCCACGCUUCGUCCUCCAACAGCAGAUGAAGGGAUCACAAAGUGACUUUGCUGUUUAAAUUCUUCACAGUCUAUAUGAGAAUAACUGUACAAGGUAAUAAAAAGUCCUAUUUGAUAACAGGUGUUUAUGAGGGAGAGCGGGGUACAAAGUGCUCCUCUUUUCCAUAAAACCAAUUUAUUAUUGGUAAAAAAAAUGAAUCCAAGGUCACAUUCCUUUUCUGCAACUGAAUUUGUGCACCGCUGGGUGUCUGUGGACUGUUUCAUCCUUGAAUUCUUCAGAGCGAACAGGAGGCAUCACUAUUGACUGUGCUAAAGCCACACCUGUGAAUUACCAUGUUGAUCACACAGCCCAGCAAAAAAUUAUUCCUUUAACAGCUGACCUGACUUAAAACACGCCUCGAGCAGAUCUGAACCUUGAAAGUGGCAUUUUGGGUGUCAGAGUUCGAGAUUCACAUUUCACCUGGACUGGUGGAUUCAACCUGAGCAGGGACAGCUCCAGCCAGGCAUUGGAAACCACAUCCAGUGGUUUUCCAGCUGCAGAUGAUCCCGUCAGUGCAGCCCGAGAUCCAGGAGGCUCAGCCCAGCUUUCACCUUUCCCAUAUUAACUCAGCUCCUGCAGUGCCAAGGGAACACCAGGACAGUCACAGUGUUCUGCCUGUCAUUUUUGUCACCAUUUAGAAGCUGCUUCCCAGUGUGUGCAGUGAGAUUCCAGGAAAUAUGUCCUCCUCUCCUUAUUUAUCAGGAAAGGCAUUCUCCCAGAAGCUGCAGGUGGAACCAGGUUCAUUCAGAAAGCCCAUAAAUGAAAUAAAUAUGAGAUCAACGCAGAAGAAUCUGUGAGAAAGGAGUAGAAAUCCCAGAUUUUCAGGACAGCACAUCCCAAAUGACUGAAGGGAUGAUGCCAGUAGU